UUCGGUGGCCAAACCACCCUGAACGCGCCGGAGCGCCAGAUCUCCGGAAGCUAAGCAGGGUGGGGUCUGGUUAGUACUUGAAUGGGAGAAACCCCUGAGGUGACCAACA
ensembl:rRNA 5S_rRNA 5S ribosomal RNA